ensembl:snoRNA SNORD36 Small nucleolar RNA SNORD36
UUGCAAUGAUGUAUGAAUUUCUUCACCUGAAAUAACUUGUGUAGAACAAAUACACGAGCUUUUUAACCCUGAGGCAUA